GGCCCUGAAACCCCAGGCUGGGCUUGUUUGAUGUUUAGCAUCCUAAAGCGGCUCCCCACCCUGGCCCCAGCCUGGGAACUGGGAGCUGUGGGCAGGAGAGGAAGGAAAUCAGCUCUCUCAGCUAGCUAGGGGGUCAGGGACUGGGCCAGGCUCAGGAGCGGGGCGAAGAGCGAAACAGAGAUGCUCUGAGCAGGGGAGACAGGGAUACCCGGCUCCUGCCGCUACCAAGAAGGGCACACACUGCGGUCCUCAAGGCCAGGAGGCGGGUGGGGGCAGGGAAUGCCUCAGCCAACAGGGCAGCGGCUCGGCCCUGCUGCUGGCCCGGUGGGAAGUAGCCUGGGGCCCCGCGACUGAAAUCCGAGCCAAGCCCGGGCAGUCUCCGCUAGAAACGCUCUGGGCGCGUCCUCCAGGAGACUCGGAGGCCCCGGGCGCUCCAGCCCAGCGUCCUUGUAGGAGGUUUCUUCCCGAAGCUUAGAGUUUGGCCUUUCAUAGGGAAAGACUUGCUCGGGAGCCUUCUAAGAGGUGUUAAAUCUUCCUGGGCCAGGGCUAGGGAGCUCUAGUAACAGUGCCUUGGUCUGGCAUCCAAGACUCCAAUUUUGAGGCCGCAGGGAGGAAUUAUCAGACUGUAGAGGCCGCCCAGCAGUCAGCGCGCUCACCGCGUCCAAGCGUCGGUGAGGGGCUAUCUCAAGGCACGAGUGCACAAAAGGUAGCGCGAGUCUCUUCUCAGGCGAUCCACAUAAGAGGAAAGGAGAGCCGGGGUUUUCUGACUUCCAACUCAUUAGGGACCAGGAUCAGACACAGAGACUGACUGAAUGGCUCCAAUUAUCAGGAUUUGAAAACCCAGUAUCAGAAUCUACCACUUUGUAGCAUAACAACAAAUGGCUGCUCUCAGAAAAGUACUGUGACCACAGAAAGGUAUUCACUUGGCUCUGCAAACUCCUCCAUUUCCCUCUUGACUCUCCUUUGCCAUAUCAUCUUCUGUCCCCUAUCCUUGCCUGAGAUCCCCAAUGAAUCCUGCCCUUAAUCUGUGGGGGUGGUAGGUGGCACUAGUUUGAAGAGCUUACUGGAUCUCCCUCAGUGAGUCAGCCUGGAGUUGUGUUCAAAAACCCAGACCUCCCAGACACCACCUGCUGCUGUCCAUCAUCAUCUUCAGGUGCUGGGCUCCCUUGUGGGCCUCCUCCUCUCGCCUCUGCUGCAGCUGUCCCAUGGGUGCCUGCCCUCUCUGAUAUCACAAGAGAACCCAUCUAGAUUCCAAGAACAAACUCAUCUUUAUUUGCCUCCCUCACACUGAAGGUAAAAACAACAUUAAUAACCACAAUAAAUACUUAGUGAGUGUUUACUAUUAUUCAUUUAAUUGUUGUUCCUUCCAUUCUAGGCCACGAUAAGAGACAUGCCAUAACUUACUCCUUAAGAGACCUGAGGACACACAUACACAAACAUAUCGGGCAUACCAUCACUAGCACCAAAAUUGAUUUUCCCUGUCUACCCAGAACAGGCCUGAGGGAGAGGGGAAAGCUGAUACCCACCUGUGUCGCUGUUUAUGUGCCGAGUCCAGGAACAGUCCAUACAGCCCUGCUGCAUCCCAUGACGCUGUCACCAAGAAGGAGGUCAUCCAAGGCCGAGGUGUUUUCAUCAGAAUGUUCAUUGAAGUAGCGACGCUGACUUCGUUCUUAGGCAGAUUCUUUUCCUGUGGCAUAUCCAGCCUAUUUGCCUAGUUUUCUCAUUCUUCUGGGGUCUGUUUACUGUAUUCCAGCUACCAAAGUGGUAGAAGUAAAAUUAAAAGAGUUCUAAAUAGCUUUUUUCCAUGUUAGCUGCCUCACAUUAAUGUGGUCCUAUCAUCAUUUGAUGAUUUGGUGACUGCAGUUAUCCAUACUAGCUCUCCUACCACUGACUACUGAGAGUUAAUUAUUACUGAAUAUUCAUCUAUCCAGGGUGAGUUAUAACUUAUGCCAGGUGUUUUGGUGAAUAAUACUAAUGCAAUUCAUUUCACUGUUUACCCUCUCAUCUUAAAGUUAUCUGCUGGUAAAAUAAGAUGGAUUGGAUUGGUACUUAAUUUUUUUUUCUUUGUGAGGCUUCUGCCCUAUCCAUAUUAAACUGUUUUAAAAUUUAUUUUACUAUUCAUACUUCCUGUCCAUGAAUCAUAUAAUCAUGUCCUUUGCCCAUUUAUCCAUUGGGAAUAUUGUUAGUGUUCACAUGUAUGUUUGAAUAAAUUUUCAUAUACUUGGUGCUGAUAAUUCUAUUUUUCAUUUGUGUUAACUUUUUUUGUAUUUAUUGUUAGUUAUUUCUCUUAGAAGUUAAAAUUUUAGGUAACUAUAUUUGACUAUUUUAUUUAAUUUCCAAUUUCUUCAUUGCUCCACUUGUAAGAAAAUUAUCACUUUAAAGUGAAACUAAAAGCCCUAUAUAUUCUUUUGGGUCUCUAUUUCCCACCAUCCCUGAGAUUUUACUCUGACAUUCUCUGGGCCUUAUAGCCCAGGCCCCAUAACUAUUCAAUGCAUUACCUUCACAAAGGUUUAAUACUUGUGUUAUGACUUCAAUUGAGUAGUUACCUUAGAGCCUAUUACCUUAUUUAUCCUGUAUUUAGAACUAUUUCCCAUGUUUUCUGUUGUUCAAGGGGCUUAUAAAUCACACCCAACUUCACACAUUCACUUACUCAUUUACUUAUUCACUCAUUCACACUUCCAUUUAUCCAUUCAUUUACCUAACCAUAUUUGGCACACAAACUCUAGGGUGACCAAUGGUGAUCCUUGCUUCCUGGUGUGUUCACUCUUGUGUGUAGGCAGGACCUGGGACUUGCUUCUGACCAACAGAAUAUGGCAAAAGUGGUGAGAUGUUCUUCCUGUGAUUGUGUUACAUAACAUAAGCCUCUGUCUUGCUAGUAGAGUCACUCUAGACACUCUCCUUGUUGGCUUGAUGAAGUAAGCAGUCAUAUUGAGGAAGCUCUCCUGGUGAGGAACCUUGGGCAGACUCCAGCUAGCAGUCAAAAAGAAGACUGGAUCCCUGGUCUUAGAGCUGCAUGGAAAUGAAUUCUGCCAAUAACCUGAGUGAGCUUAAAAGGGGUUUAUUCCUCAGUCAGGUAUCCAGAUGACAACACAGCCCAGGUGAUACCUUGAUUGCAGUGUUGUGAGACUCUUAAGCAGAGGGCCCAUCUAAGCCAUGCCCUUACCUAGAAACUGUAAGAUAAUAGUUAUUUUGAGCCACAAAGUAUGCAAAGUAUGCAGUAAUUAGUUAUGCAGAAAUAGAGAACAAGUACACUGUGCUGUGCUAAUUAUCAUAUGCAUGAUCUCUUAGUGUUUCAAGUAAUGUCAUAAGCCUGUUAUUAAUAUUAUCUUCAUUUACAGAAGGAGAAACUGAGGCUCGGAAGUUGAUCUCCAGAAGGUUUUGCUCUUAGCCACUACACUAUUAUGGCAUGUUUUACCUUAAUGUAUUGCAUUGUUUCAUGGGUUCAAGUUAUCAUGUCCUUCGACAAGUUUAAAAAUCUAUCUGCUAAAACCUGUCAAAUACAUUAAGGAAAAGUCCUGCAUGGCACAUCUCGCACACAAGAUGUUAAUUAUUCAUACUGCAUGGCUGAGGAUUUUGGAGGCAGACAGAUAUUCACCUGCGGUAUCUGGAACACCAAUGGGGGUCUACAUCAACACAGAAUUUAUACAGCAGCUGGUGCUAGUCAAAGCUAAUGAGAGAAUUUCAGUUUAAUAAAAAGACCCCCAACUGAGCACACCAUCUUGAAAAAAGUAUACUUAUCAAACAACUUUCAAUCAGUUCAAGAGAGACACCUUAAUUGGGAAGAGGAAGGAUUGCAGAGUAGUUUGUAAUCAUGCCAAUUCUAGAUCAAUAACUGCAUGUCUGUUCUGUGGUAGACAUAGCUUUUGCUUCAUAUGAAGUAAUCACAUAUAAAUUCUAUUUGGAUAAGGAAACCUUGCUUUAUUUGACAAUGUAUAAUGAUAUCCUCUUUUAAUACACCUCUUUGUCUUCAUAAUAAACACAAGUAAAAUUUAGAUAUGUGACAGUAAAAGUCAAUAUAAUUGUUGAUUUUUAAAAUAAACUUUGUAUCUAACAGGAAAGCAGUGCUUAUGAAAUUUUUAUAUUUUCAAAAAUAAUUUUGUUGAAAUAAAAUUAUAUGAAUAAAGUUAAA